rnacentral:rRNA from 1 species
UACGUAGGGGCCAAGCGUUGUCCGGAUUUAUUGGGCGUAAAGAGCUCGUAGGCGGUUGAGUAAGUCGGGUGUGAAAACUCUGGGCUUAACCCAGAGCCGCCACUCGAUACUGCUCUGACUUGAGUUCGGUAGGGGAGCAGGGAAUUCCUAGUGUAGCGGUGAAAUGCGCAGAUAUUAGGAGGAACACCGGUGGCGAAGGCGCUGCUCUGGGCCGAAACUGACGCUGAGGAGCGAAAGCGUGGGUAGCAAACAGG